rnacentral:rRNA from 1 species
AAUCGAAGCAGUGAACUUAGGCCCCAGUAAACGGCGGCCGUAACUAUAACGGUCCUAAGGUAGCGAAAUUCCUUGUCGGGUAAGUUCCGACCCGCACGAAAGGCGUAACGAUUUGGGCACUGUCUCAACAACAGACUCGGUGAAAUUGUAAUUCCGGUGAAGAUGCCGGAUACCUGCGACAGGACGGAAAGACCCCAUGGCGCUUUACUGUAGCUUGACAUUGGGUCUUGGUACUACAUGUACAGGAUAGGUGGGAGGCUUUGAAACCAGGACGCCAGUUUUGGCGGAGCCAUCCUUGGGAUACCACCCUUGUAGUACUGGGACUCUAACCAUAGGCCAUGAAUCUGGUCUUGGGACACUGUCAGGUGGGCAGUUUGACUGGGGCGGUCGCCUCCCAAAAGGUAACGGAGGCGCUCAAAGGUUCUCUCAGUACGGUCGGAAAUCGUACGUAGAGUGUAAAGGCAAAAGAGAGCUUGAUUGCAAGACAUACAGGUCGAGCAAGGAUGAAAAUCGGACUUAGUGAUCCGGUGGUUCUGCGUGGAAGGGCCAUCGCUCAACGGAUAAAAGCUACCCUGGGGAUAACAGGCUUAUCUCCCCCAAGAGUCCACAUCGACGGGGAGGUUUGGCACCUCGAUGUCGGCUCAUCACAUCCUGGGGCUGUAGUAGGUCCCAAGGGUUGGGCUGUUCGCCCAUUAAAGUGGUACGCGAGCUGGGUUCAGAACGUCGUGGGACAGUUCGGUCCCUAUCCGUCGCAGGCGUAGGAAAUUUGAGAAGACCUGUCCUUAGUACGAGAGGACCGGGAUGGACGUACCUCUGGUGUACCAGUUGUUCUGCCAAGGGCAUGGCUGGGUAGCUGUGUACGGAAUGGAUAAGCGCUGAAAGCAUCUAAGCGCGAAGCCAACUUCAAGAUAAGAUUUCCCACCGCAAGGGUAAGACCCCAGAAAGACUAUCUGGUUGAUAGGUCGAAGGUGUAAGUGCAGCAAUGUAUUUAGCUUAUCGAUACUAAUAGGUCGAGGACUUGACCAAU